rnacentral:rRNA from 1 species
UACGUAGGGGCUAGCGUUGUCCGGAAUCAUUGGGCGUAAAGAGCGUGUAGGCGGCCAGGUAGGUCUGCUGUGAAAACUCGAGGCUCAACCUCGAGACGUCGGCGGAAACCAUCUGGCUAGAGUCCGGAAGAGGAGAGUGGAAUUCCUGGUGUAGCGGUGAAAUGCGCAGAUAUCAGGAGGAACACCGGUGGCGAAGGCGCUCUGCUGGACCAUAACUGACACUCAGGGACGAAAGCUAGGGGAGCGAAUGGG